GAGCACGUAGGUGGGUUUGUAAGUCGGGUGUGAAAUCCCUCGGCCCAACCGAGGAACUGCGCCCGAAACUGCGUGUCUUGAGGGCAGGAGGGGAGCGUGGAAUUCCUGGUGGAGCGGUGAAAUGCGUUGAUAUCAGGAGGAACACCGGCGGCGAAGGCGACGCUCUGGCCUGCUUCUGACGCUGAGGUGCGAAAGCCAGGGGAGCAAACGGGAUUAGAUACCCCGGUAGUCCUGGCCGUAAACGAUGGGCACUAAGUAGAGGGGUUUU
rnacentral:rRNA from 1 species